UGAAGACAGACUACCACAUGUGACUGGUGAAUGUGAAAGUUAGGUGGCAAGAGUCAACAUGGAGUUUGGACUUCUACAACAAGUCUUGGUAGGAAGGGGGCAGAAAAUAAGUUUUAUAUAGUGCCUAAUAUGUCAUGGGGCAAAGUAUUUUUUUUGAACAGAUGUUCUCAUUUGGUACUCACAAUAACUCUGCAAAGGUUCUGCUAUUUGCCAGUUGGAGACUGACUGAAAUGCCACUUCCUUUGAGAAAGUCUUAACUCAUGUAUGGGAAACUGCCUGAAAUGAGAUCACUAA